rnacentral:rRNA from 1 species
UUACGGUCAAAUCACGCUGAAAACACCGGUUCUCGUUCGAUCACCGAAGUUAAGCAUCGUAGAGCCAGGUCAGUACUUAGAUGGGGGACCGCUUGGGAACAGCUGGUACUGUAAG